rnacentral:rRNA from 1 species
ACGGCUCAGUAACACGUAGCUAACCUACCCUUAGGACGUCGAUAACCCCGAGAAAUUGGGGCUAAUAGGCGAUAGAUGUAUUGUCCUGGAAUGGUAAUACGUCCAAAGGUAUCCCAUACAUGUUUGGUAUACGCCUAAGGAUGGGGCUGCGGCCGAUCAGGCUGUUGGUGAGGUAAUGGCUCACCAAACCUUUGACCGGUAUGGGCCAUGAGAGUGGUAGCCCAGAGAUGGGACACUGAGACAAGGGUCCAGGCCCUACGGGGCGCAGCAGGCGCGAAACCUCCUCAAUGCACUAACGUGCGAAGGGGUUACCUCGAGUGCCACCUGAAGAAGGUGGCUUUUCCUUGGUCUAAAAAGCCUAGGGAAUAAGAGGGGGGCAAGACUGGUGUCAGCCGCCGCGGUAACACCAGCCCCUCGAGUGGUGGGGAUGAUUAUUUGGCCUAAAGCGUCCGUAGCCGGCCGGGUAAGUUUCCCGUUAAAUCCAGCGUCUCAAGCGUUGGACUGCGGGAAAUACUGCCUGGCUAGAGAGUGGGAGAGGUCAGCGGUAUUCUGGGGGUAGGGGCGAAAUCCUUUGAUCCCCGGAGGACCACCAGUGGCGAAGGCUGCUGACUAGAACACGUCUGACGGUCAGGGACGAAAGCUGGGGUAGCGAACCGGAUUAGAUACCCGGGUAGUCCCAGCCGUAAACGAUGCAUGCUAGGUGUUGGGUUGGCCACGAGCCACCCCAGUGCCGCAGGGAAGCCGUUAAGCAUGCCGCCUGGGAAGUACGAUCGCAAGGUUGAAACUUAAAGGAAUUGGCGGGGGAGCACCACCAGGCGUGAAGCCUGCGGUUUAAUUGGAGUCAACGCCGGG